AUUGAACGCUGGCGGCAUGCCUUACACAUGCAAGUCGAACGGCAAGGCCCUUCGGGGUACACGAGUGGCGAACGGGUGAGUAACACGUGGGUGAUCUGCCCUGCACUUCGGGAUAAGCCUGGGAAACUGGGUCUAAUACCGGAUAGGACCACUGCCUGCAUGGGUGGUGGUGGAAAGCUUUUGCGGUGUGGGAUGGGCCCGCGGCCUAUCAGCUUGUUGGUGGGGUGAUGGCCUACCAAGGCGACGACGGGUAGCCGGCCUGAGAGGGUGACCGGCCACACUGGGACUGAGAUACGGCCCAGACUCCUACGGGAGGCAGCAGUGGGGAAUAUUGCACAAUGGGCGCAAGCCUGAUGCAGCGACGCCGCGUGAGGGAUGACGGCCUUCGGGUUGUAAACCUCUUUCAGCACUGACGAAGCGCAAGUGACGGUAGGUGCAGAAGAAGGACCGGCCAACUACGUGCCAGCCGCCGCCGUAA
rnacentral:rRNA from 1 species